GAUGAACGCUGGCGGCGUGCCUAAUACAUGCAAGUCGAGCGAACAGAUGAGGAGCUUGCUCCUCUGACGUUAGCGGCGGACGGGUGAGUAACACGUGGAUAACCUACCUAUAAGACUGGGAUAACUUCGGGAAACCGGAGCUAAUACCGGAUAAUAUAUUGAACCGCAUGGUUCAAUAGUGAAAGACGGUUUUGCUGUCACUUAUAGAUGGAUCCGCGCCGCAUUAGCUAGUUGGUAAGGUAACGGCUUACCAAGGCAACGAUGCGUAGCCGACCUGAGAGGGUGAUCGGCCACACUGGAACUGAGACACGGUCCAGACUCCUACGGGAGGCUGCAGUAGGGAAUCUUCCGCAAUGGGCGAAAGCCUGACGGAGCAACGCCGCGUGAGUGAUGAAGGUCUUCGGAUCGUAAAACUCUGUUAUUAGGGAAGAACAAAUGUGUAAGUAACUAUGCACGUCUUGACGGUACCUAAUCAGAAAGCCACGGCUAACUACGUG
rnacentral:rRNA from 1 species